rnacentral:lncRNA from 1 species
GCCGGGCAGCCGGGGGGAAUCCGCCGGCAUCGCCGCCCUUGCCGGCCGGGCUGCUACGGGGCCCAGAGCGCCGGAAGCUGGGGCUGGGGCGGCACCGCGCGGCGGCCUCGGGCUCCCGUUAGAGCAGCCCGGGCGGCUAUGCCGAGGGCCCGGAGCGGCCGGCGGAGCAGGGAGGCCGGCGGGAGGGAGGAAACCUUCUUGCGAGUGCGAGCCAACCGGCAAACCCGACUGAAUGGUGAGUCCGGUCCGGCCCCUCCCUCCGCCCCACCCCCGGCCUCCUCCCUCCUCCACUGCCCGCAGCUCCUGGCUUGCCUGGGUCUCUUCAUCAUCGGGCCAACUGACUUCUUGCAGUCACCACGUCUGAGAGUGCAAACCAAGGCUGCCGCCCUCAGUUUCCCCGUCUGUCUAAUGGAGGGUUACGGUACUCAGCUCGUGCCCAAGUCUUUCUAAAGGUCCGAAAGAACCCUGGGGGACAAUAAGUGUCGGAGAAUGAGGAACAAGCUACACAAUUCCACUCGGGAGCUCAGCUUUGAAUUUGCAGACUGCUGGGACCUCACUAUACAAGUCGGCAGGGCGCUGAGAAUGUUUUUCUUCUAGUUUUUAAUCAGUGCCCAGUAGUGUGAAUGCAGCCUCUCUGCUGAGACUUGACAAUGCAAUGAGAUCUGGAGUUCCCACGGCAACAGAACUAACUCGUCCCAGAGCUCUUUGAGUUAUCAGUCGGCCCACAUUUCACAAAGGUGAUCAGCGUGGGCUCGACAGCUCUUAGAGGCCUUUUCUGAAAGCAGACCGCGUAUGCACUACCUGCUGGUAGCUGGUCAUCAUUCCCACCACGUGGGAGCCAUUGCUCGUGGGACUCCUUUGUGACCGUGCUGCUGCCUGUGAUGCGCAUAUUAAAGUGGAUGUAUUUGGGUGGGAAAUGGAAUUGUGAGGCUGCAAGCUAGCAAUGACGAGGGGGGCGCCCGGCCUCGGGUGAUGCAUUGAAGGUGACAGCCAAGCCGCGUUAGCACCUGCAUAAAAUAUUAAAGGGACGGUUAUGCAUUUAUC